GGGUAGGUAGCAAAGCGGUCAACUGCACCAGACUGUAAAUCUGGCACCUUCGGGUUUCGAUGGUUCGAAUCCAUCCCUGCCCACCA
rnacentral:tRNA from 1 species